rnacentral:rRNA from 1 species
CACGUAGUUAGCCGUGGCUUUCUGAUUAGGUACCGUCAAGAUGUGCACAGUUACUUACACAUUUGUUCUUUCCCUAAUAACAGAGUUUUACGAGCCGAAACCCUUCAUCACUCACGCGGCGUUGCUCCGUCAGGCUUUCGCCCAUUGCGGAAGAUUCCCUACUGCUGCCUCCCGUAGGAGUCUGGACCGUGUCUCAGUUCCAGUGUGGCCGAUCACCCUCUCAGGUCGGCUACGUAUCGUCGCCUUGGUAAGCCGUUACCUUACCAACUAGCUAAUACGGCGCGGGUCCAUCUAUAAGUGAUAGCAAAACCAUCUUUCACUUUAGAACCAUGCGGUUCUAAAUGUUAUCCGGUAUUAGCUCCGGUUUCCAAGUUAUCCCAGUCUUAUAGGUAGGUUACCCACGUGUUACUCACCCGUCCGCCGCUAACUUCAAAGGAGCAAGCUCCUUAUCUGUUCGCUCGACUUGCAUGUAUUAGGCACGCCGCAGCGUUCAUCC